rnacentral:rRNA from 1 species
AUGUGGGAGGAAUGCUUGCCUCAUAUUGAAUUUUCUUAUAAUCGUUCAUUGCAUUCUACUACUAAGAUGUGCCCUUUUGAAGUUGUGUAUGGUUUCCUACCUCGUGCACCUAUUGAUUUGUUGCCUCUUCCAUCUUCGGAGAAGGUUAAUUUUGAUGCUAAACAACGUGCUGAAUUGAUUUUAAAAAUGCAUGAGUUAACUAAGGAAAACAUUGAGCGCAUGAAUGCUAAAUAUAAACUUGCUGGAGAUAAGGGUAGAAAACAUGUUGUGUUUGCACCUGGAGAUCUUGUUUGGUUACAUUUGCGUAAGGAUAGAUUUCCGGAUUUGCGCAAAUCAAAGUUAAUGCCACGUGCUGAUGGUCCCUUUAAGGUGUUAGAGAAAAUAAAUGAUAAUGCAUAUAAACUUGAGCUGCCUGCAGAUUUAGGGGUUAGUCCCACUUUUAACAUUGCAGAUUUGAAGCCUUAUUUGGGUGAGGAAGAUGAACUUCCGUCGAGGACGACUUCAUUUCAAGAAGGGGAGGAUGAUGAGGACAUCAAUACAAUUGUUACACCCACAGCCCCUGCUGCUAUACAUACUGGACCAAUUACUAGAGCUCGUGCACGCCAACUAAAUUACCAGGAAACAGACCCUCGUGGUCAGGUUGAUCGUGCUCCGGCGUGGUCAAUAACCUCUCGGAGUUGGUUUAGCGAUUGCUAA